rnacentral:rRNA from 1 species
GAUGAACGCUGGCGGCGUGCCUAAUACAUGCAAGUCGAGCGAACAGACGAGGAGCUUGCUCCUCUGACGUUAGCGGCGGACGGGUGAGUAACACGUGGAUAACCUACCUAUAAGACUGGGAUAACUUCGGGAAACCGGAGCUAAUACCGGAUAAUAUAUUGAACCGCAUGGUUCAAUAGUGAAAGACGGUUUUGCUGUCACUUAUAGAUGGAUCCGCGCCGCAUUAGCUAGUUGGUAAGGUAACGGCUUACCAAGGCAACGAUGCGUAGCCGACCUGAGAGGGUGAUCGGCCACACUGGAACUGAGACACGGUCCAGACUCCUACGGGAGGCAGCAGUAGGGAAUCCUCCGCAAUGGGCGAAAGCCUGACGGGGCAACGCCGCGUGAGUGAUGAAGGUCUUCGGAUCGUAAAACUCUGUUAUUAGGGAAGAACAAAUGUGUAAGUAACUAUGCACGUCUUGACGGUACCUAAUCAGAAAGCCACGGCUAACUACGUG